UGUGACCUAGUGUGAUGAUUGAUACCAGUUGUCAACUUGAUAAGAUGCAGAAUCAGCUCAGAGAUAGCCCUGGACUUGCGUGUGAGGGGAUUUCUAGGUUUGAUCAUUGAGCUGGGACGACCCACCCUAAAUGUGAGUUGUACCAUUCCAUGAGUUGAAAUCCUGAGCUGAGUCAAAGGAAAGGAAGCUGAGUACCAGUACUGAAUGUGACUAGCUGCCUCUCACUCUGGCUGCUGUGAUGGAAGGCACAGCAAUCGUGGGCUCAGUGGAUCCAAUUGCACACCCGUAGCUCCAACAUGCCUCCAACACUUCCCAGCGAAGGAGCUUGAGAAGAACUACUGAGGUCGAAUCAUCUGGAGAGAAGAAUGUUUGAGAAGCUAAUGAAACAAGUGUUUAAGAAUGAUGGAGCAUCUCUGUGCAUUUCUCUCUCUCUCUCUCUCUCUCUCUCUCUCUCUCUCUCUCUCUCUCUCUCUCUCUCUCUCUCUCUCUCUCUCUUCGUGUUGAUAAGAAGACUUCUAAUUGGAUUUGAGGCCAACUCCAGAGGAGGAACCACAUGCCUGAAACUGGAAACCUGGCUAAGAGCCCAUGGUUGAGAGCUCACAGGCCCCAGGGAAUCAAAGUAAUUCAAGUUAAAAAAUAAAAGCAAAAAGCAGAGCUCUGGCUGCCAGCUUCUGUGCAGAUGGACGCAAAGACACAUAGAGAUAAAUGACACCUGGGUCCUGCUGACUCCUGAGUACUAGCGUCAGGAAGAAACCACAUGAGCAUCCAGGAUCUGUCAGACAAAUGAUCCCGAAAAGAAGUCUUGCUUUAUUUGUCGAGUUAUCUUGUUUUGGAAGGCCUCUUAUGACCUCCCCCCUCCUCUUAGGGCUUUCACUAUUUUAUGUUGUGUUUUACAAGAUGCUUUUUCCGUUUUUAUUAAUUUGUAAGAAAGAGAAAUACAGUUGUUUUUCCCAGUAAAAUUAUCUGAUCCCAUUUAUUCUAUCCUUUCCCACUGUUUUGAAAUAUACUUUUAUCUUAAUUUAUUCUUAUAUGUGUUUUCCAGUCUGUGCCACUGUUAUAUUGCACAUUAUUUAGUACGAUGGUUUUAUAGUUUGAUAACUGGUGAGAGUCAGUUAUUA
rnacentral:lncRNA from 1 species